UACGUAGGGUGCAAGCGUUGUCCGGAAUUAUUGGGCGUAAAGAGCUCGUAGGUGGCCUGUCGCGUCGGCUGUGAAAACUCGGGGCUCAACUCCGAGCUUGCAGUCGAUACGGGCAGGCUAGAGUUCGGCAGGGGAGACUGGAAUUCCUGGUGUAGCGGUGAAAUGCGUAGAGAUCCGGAGGAACACCGACGGCGUAGGCAGCGCCCUGGCUGUGAAUAAAGCUGACACUGAGGCACGAAAGCUGGGGGAGCAAACAGG
rnacentral:rRNA from 1 species